GAGAGAAGAGUUGUUGUUCCAAACUGGAGCACCGGAAUUGGUGGUCCAGAACGGGGAAUUGAAAGCACUUGAAGGGCGGUGCUGCAACACACACGAAAACAAACCAACCCAAAACCAUUAGAGAGGGCUUUGUUUGGUGGCCGAGAAAAUAAACAAGAAAAGUAAUUCAACAAGAAAAUCAAACUUAAAUCAAUCAAAUUAAGAGCAUAAACAAGUAAAAAAGAAAAAACCCCAGAAAGAUUAAGAUUAAGAUUAGCGUGUUACCCUGUAAGGAUCCAUGGAGGAAGGUCGGGUUAGAGAGAGAGCUUGAUGGAGAAGGUAAGAGGUGAGCAGAGGAAGGGGGUAAGCCACUCACUCACUCAGAUGGGGCAAUCGAAGGCUGAAAUGUAAGCAAAUUUGGUGGAUUUAUAAACGCUGACUUUCGGCUUUGGGUAUGGGUCGUGGGCGUGGCUCACGCUUUUGUGUGAAAUUUCCAUUUUCCGCUCUCGGCCUCACGUUAUCUUUAUCCACACACACACACAGCUGGAAGGUCACUACGUAUCUUUGCCAAUUUAUCGUCACUACAUAUCUUUGCCUAUAAACUACGUACGCAUCCGCAUGGCUAUAAAAGUAUGACUACACAACAUCUCGCAUAGAAACAGUGAAAAUCGGUGCCUGCAACCGGCACUUGUUACAUUUUUUUUUUGGAAAAAGUUUGACUGUAGUAAAACUACGUCAAAACUUCCUCAACUUUUAUUAAACAAGUCCAAAAUUACAAGUAAACAAGAAACCCAACUUACAAUUAUACACAAUCAAAAAGGACCGAAACCAACAGAAAACAAGAAAGAGGCCCCACAACAAUGAAGCCCCAAAAAAAACACAGAACAACCAACCGAGAAGCUUCUGCUGAAAUCUCCUCCACCGACAGAGAUCCAAGCCAGCCACCGGAAACGUCAUCCAUCACCGAGCAUCGCCGCCUCAGACAACACCGCCAACCCCGAACAGCAACCAGAUCACAUCCAUUAACAGGAGAUAAUUGGCACCAAACAGGGAUUACAUUGGAGUUGCAUAGUACGAACGAUUCGGACUUAUUACAUUGAGGCUACAUGUCACUUACAUGCGAAAUUUAGUGUGACAGUAUCACGAUACUCAAAACAUCUUGCAUUGGCAUCGCCCUCAAAUGCUCGGCCUCACGUUAAGACGAGACGCCAGUUUUUGACCAAAGGAUCGGUCAGCCUGCAUUUCAAUUACCACCAGCACACAUCAUAUUCCAGUACGAAAUCACAUCCAACUAUUACCAAUUCACAAAUGCGAAUACUUUGCAAGUAUGCACCCACCUGAGACCAGUAUGAGAUCCAAAUGCUGCGAAUUUCAUGGGUGACACGAGGUUCGGAUAGGACAUCAACCCAUCGGUGGAGGAAUCGCUCUUGCCUGCAAUGAACAUUUAGAUUAUGAACAUGACGUUUAAAUACAUAUAUUUCCACAUAGAGACAUCAUAGGGUUGGCAGCUACCUGUCGGGUGCCCAAGAUCUGUAUCUCUCUCCAGGUUGCUUGAAGUUGUUCUCCUUCUCAAUGACGCACUGCAUUUCCAACGAAACCACCAUACACAAAUUAAACGCAAAGUUGCAAUAUGAAUCAUGAUGUGCAGCGCACCAACAGGAUUCAGAAAUGCAACAAGCAUCCAUGCAUGUAUCUAACUUUUUACAUUCCAAGUGCUUUCAAGUUUCAAGUAAAAAAGAAAAUGAGAAAUUAGGUUCUCAUCCUUCAUUUUACUAUUUCAUUGAUUAAAAUUCUAUUUAUUUUUAAUUUUUUAUCAAGAUCCUUGGUAUUAAUAAUAUCAUUAAUUAUUUCAAUACUAAAAUAUUUUUUAUUUCUAAAUAUAUUCAUUUAAUGUUAAAAUGUUACAAUUAGUAUAUUUAUAUUUAUGACUAAAUUUUUUAUCAUAUAUUUUUAGUUUUAGUUUGUACCCUUUUUAAUUUGUAAUUCUUUUUUAAUUUGUUCUAAUUUUCUUUUCAAUUUUAAUUUGUACCCAUAUAUUAAUUUUUUUUUGUGCCCAUAUUUUUUAAAGUUUAUUUUUAUUUGUACCCAUAUUUUUUUUUAUACUUUUUAUUUUGCUAAAUGUACCCAUGCUAAUUAUAUGUACCCAUUCAUGUAAAACUUUUUAAUCUUAAAAUGUACUCAUUCUUAAAUAUACCAAUUUGUUAUAUGUAAAAUGUACCAUUUUUUAUAUAUAAUCUAUUCAAUGUUUUAAAUCCAUUUUUAAACUUAUAUGGGUACAUUCUUUUUUCUUUGAUUUUAAAAUGUAUCCAUGUCAAGUUUAAUCGAAGCAAUUUACUAAUGUUAUUAAGUCUAAUAUCUUUUUUUUUUGUUGUGAUUUUGAAGAAUGUACCCAUGUUUUGAUACAAUCAUUUUUUUGGUUAAUUUUGUUGAAUGUACCCAUGUUUAUAUAUAUGGGCACACAAUAGUAUAUUUAUAUUUUACUAUUUUUAAUCCCACAAAUUAUAGUUUUUUUUAUUUAAAAUCUCAUUUAUAUAAACUAAAAUUUCAAAUUUUUAAUUUAAAAAAUAUAGUAACAUACAUAGAAAUAAAUUAUCGCAUUGAUUUCAAGAACCUCAAUCAAAAAUUAAAAACCAACAAUUUUUAAAUCAAAGAAUAUUCAUAGUUAAGGACCGCAUCCAAAGUCUCCCGGAGAAAUUAGGUUCUAAUCCUUCAUUUUACUAUUUCAUUGAUUAAAAUCCUAUUUCUUUUUAAUUUUUUAUCAAGGUCCUUGGGUAUUAAUAAUAUCAUUAAUUAUUUCAAUAAUAAAUUAAUUUUUAUUUCUAAAUAUAUUCAUUUAAUGUUUAAAAUGUUACAAUUAGUAUAUUUAUAUUUAUGAUUAAAUUUUUUAUCAUAUAUUUUUAGUUUUAGUUUGUACCCAUUUUUAAUUUGUAAUUCUUUUUUAAUUUGUACCAAUUUUCUUUUCAAUUUUAAUUUAUAUCCAUAUAUUAAUUUCUUUUUGUGCCCAUAUUUUUUAAAGUUUAUUUGUAUUUGUACCCAUAUAUUUUUUUUAUUUAUACUUUUUAUUUUGCUAAAUGUAUCCAUGCUAAUUAUAUGUACCCAUUCAUGUAAAACUUUUUAAUCUUAAAAUGUACUCAUUCUUAAAUAUACCAAUUUGUUAUAUGUAAAAUGUACCAUUUUUUUAUAUAUAAUCUAUUCAAUGUUUUAAAUCCAUUUUUAAACUUAUAUGGGUACAUUCUUUUUUCUAUGAUUUUAAAAUGUAUCCAUGUCAAGUUUCAUCGAAGAAAUUUACUAAUGUUAAGUCUAAUAUCUUUCUUCUUUUUUUUUGUGAUUUUGAAGAAUGUACCCAUGUUUUGAUACAAUAAUUUUUUUGGUUAAUUUUGUUGAAUGUACCCAUGUUUAUAUAUAUAUAUAUAUAUACACACACAAUAGUAUAUUUAUAUUUUAAUAUUUUUAAUCCCACAAAUUAUGGUUUUUUUAUUUAAAAUCUCAUUUAUAUAAAUAAAUAAAAUUUCUAAUUUUUAAUUUAAAAAAUAUAGUAACAUACAUAGAAAUAAAUUAUCAUAUUGAUUUCAGGGAUCUCAAUCAAAAAUUAAAAACCAACAAGAUUUCAAUAAAAAAAUAUUCAUAGUUAAGGACCGCAUCCAAAGUAUCCUAAAAGAAAAACACAGAAAACAAGAACAUGGGAAAACUAAGGAAAUUUAAAUGAAUUAUUCUACAUUGAUACAAACUGACCUUCUCACGCUUUCCAGUGAAAAUAUUAGAAGGAAUUGGGAAGGUCUCAGCAUGGCGAACAGGAUCAAACCUUGAUGGGAAGUAGUCAAUCUACAGAAAACAGUAGGGCAUCUGAGCAGAGAAAACUUUGAUGAACAAACAAGUGAAAAUUUAAGUAGACGUCCGAAUCUUGAGCAACGCAAGUGUAAAAAGGGUAAAAGGCAUUCAAUAAGCGUCAGCAAUUGAGGGGGAAAGUGGUAUUGCACUUGGAAAAGAAAAUCAUAAGAGCAAAAGUACCUCCUCAUCUCUGUGCAUGAAAUUCAUAGAUCCGUCAUAGUGAUUGUUGUGAUGAGCACACUUGGGAGCAUUAACUGGGAGCUGCAGAUAGUUGGGGCCAAGACGGUGCCUCUGAGUAUCAGAAUAGGCGAAGAGUCGAGUUUGGAGCAUCUUAUCAUUUGAAUAAUAGAUACCAGGGACAACAAGGGCCGGGUUGAAAGCAAGUUGUUCAUUCUCUGCAAAGAAGUUAUCAAUGUUCUUAUUCAGUACCAAACGGCCAACAGGCUGCAGGGGAAGAAGAUCUUCGGGCCAGGUCUUAGUAUCAUCAAGUGGGUCAAAGUCAAAUCUGUCUUCAUGAUCAGGAUCCAUUAUCUGAAUAAAAAGUUUCCACUCCGGGUAGUUGCCAGCUUCAAUUGAGUCAUAGAGAUCCUUGGUAGCGUGGCUGUGAUUAGCUCCUCCAACCUUAAUAGCCUCGUCCUCCAACAAACACUUGACUCCACAAGUGGGCUUCCAAUGAAAUUUCACGUAGUGUACCUUCCCGGCCUUGCUGAUAAGAGUAUAGGCGUGUACACCAAAGCCUUCCAUGUGCCUGUAAUCUUGUGGAACUCCCACGUCAUCGAAUAGGAAGGCGAACGUGAGCAGGCUUUCUGGAUGGUGAGAUAAGAAGUCAAGGACCCUCCAAUAUUCUUGGAUGUGGGACUUAGGGUUCGGUUUGAAAGCAUGGAUCACGUCCGGGAAUUUCAUUGCAUCACGGACAAAAAAGACGGGGAAAUUGUUUCCCACCAAGUCCCAAUUACCCUGUUUAAGAAGAACAAGGUGACAACAUGAGUAAAGUAUUUGUCACUGGAGCUGCCUGUGACUAGAGAUACCACUGUGUAUUUUUUACUAUAAAUAUGUUGUUGAAUAUAAUAUGAUCAUCGACGUGUCAUUAUCCCGAGGUUAUAAAACAUGAAUAAGCCAUUGAGACCUCACCUCUCUGGUGUAAAACUUCACUGCAAAACCACGAGGAUCCCUUAUGGUUUCAGGGCUGCCACGCUCAUGGAUAACAGUGGAGAAACGCACAAUGACAGGUGUCUGAACUCCAGGGGCUCGAAGGAAGUCAGCACAUGAAAGGUGAGAAAUAUCAUGAGUGACCUCAAAGAAACCUUUUGCACUGGCUCCCCUAGCAUGGACAACACGCUCUGGGAUCCGUUCUCUAUCAAAGUUGGCGAGUUUCUCCACCAGAUGGUAGUCCUCAAGCAGAACCGGACCUGACAAAUAGACAAAGAAUUAAAUUCUUAACUGCAUCUACUCAACUCGACAUAACCAACCAUCCCGAUCACAUGCAAAAGUCAGAGAAGAGUUAAAUCACCUCUGGGUCCUACAGUGAGAGAAGAGUUGUUGUUCGAAACUGGAGCACCGGCAUUGGUGGUCCAGAACGGGGAAUUGAAAGCACUUGAAGGGCGGUACUGCAACAACACACAAAAACAAACAAACCCAAAUCCAUGAGAGAGGGCUCUCUUUGGUGGCCGAGAUAAUAAACAAGAAAAUCAAACUUAUAAAAAAAAAAUUCAAAGUAAGAGCAUAGACAAGCAAAAGAGAAAAACCCCAGAAAGAUUAAGAUUAAGAUUAGAGUAGUGCCUUGUAAGGAUCCAUGGAGGAAGGUCAGGUUAGAGAGAGAGAGAGCUUGAUGGAGAAGGUAAGAGGUGAGCAGAGGAAGGGAGUAAGCCACUAGCUCAGAUGGGCAAUCGAAGGCUGAAAUGCAGGCAAAUUUAUAAUGGUGCUCCCACUUUUGUGUGAAAUUACCAUUUCCAGCUCUCGGCCCCACGUUAUCUUUAUCCACACACAGCUGGAAG
rnacentral:lncRNA from 1 species